GGGGGCGUAGCUCAGCGGGAGAGCACCUGCUUUGCACGCAGGGGGUCGGGGGUUCGAGUCCCCCCGCCUCCACCA
rnacentral:tRNA from 1 species